AGCGAACGCUGGCGGCAGGCUUAACACAUGCAAGUCGAGCGCCCCGCAAGGGGAGCGGCAGACGGGUGAGUAACACGUGGGAACGUGCCUUUUGGUUCGGAACAACCCAGGGAAACUUGGGCUAAUACCGGAUAAGCCCUUACGGGGAAAGAUUUAUCGCCAAAAGAUCGGCCCGCGUCUGAUUAGCUAGUUGGUGAGGUAACGGCUCACCAAGGCGACGAUCAGUAGCUGGUCUGAGAGGAUGAUCAGCCACAUUGGGACUGAGACACGGCCCAAACUCCUACGGGAGGCAGCAGUGGGGAAUCUUGGACAAUGGGCGCAAGCCUGAUCCAGCCAUGCCGCGUGAGUGAUGAAGGCCUUAGGGUUGUAAAGCUCUUUCAGCGGGGAAGAUAAUGACGGUACCCGCAGAAGAAGCCCCGGCUAACUUCGUGCCAGCCGCCG
rnacentral:rRNA from 1 species